CACCGUGCCUUUAAGAAGCAAAGGCGUGUCCGACGCGUUGGGCGCAUUGCUUCAUUUCUUCUCUGUGUGAUUCCCCUUUUCUCCCAAUCCGGUGCUCCCAUCUCAAUCCCGCCGUCAUAGACCAGGCGCACACCAAAUCUCUCAUGCGGAAGCUCGACCCCUGCCAUCCCAUGGCGUUCUCCGGUGCUCUAGAAUCCAUCCCCAUAUCAGCACGGUGCCGUCUUCGAUUUUUGAUGGUCCUUGUGUGGCUCAAAUUGCCUACUCGCUAGCUCUAAUCACCCAGCGCGGCGACCGGCGGGCGCCUGUCCGGUGGUGCUACAGCCAUUCGAACUCUAGGUACCGGUGCUGCUCCAACCGCUCGUGUUCCAGGAACGAGGUGUCGGUGCUCCUAUUGUUGGAGCUGUUCCAACCAGUGGUGCUUUAAGCCUUCAACUGUCAUUGCUCCAGCCACCGGUGCUCUAGCUGAUGGUGCUCCGGCUUCAGGGCUGCUCUAGCCGAUGGUAUUCUCUUGUUCAGUAUUAAUUAGCAUGAUAAUUUUAGAGAAUGUCCAAGUCUGUAGAGUAUCUCUUAUUUAGCAAUUCCUUUUGUGGAAUUGAUCCAAAGCUUUUCUUGAAUAAAUUGAUGUUUGACCUGUCUAUUACCAGUGUUCUAUGUAUCACCCAAUUGUUCCAUGCGAAUUUGCUUUCCCAGUUUACACAAUUCAGUUACGAAAAGAAAGUUAUCUUUCUCAUAUCAUUUUUCAGUCUAGGUUCUGUUGCAAUAAGUUUAUGUAGUGUUCUCUAUAGGUAUUUGGAAGGAAAAAGUCCAAAUUACUACCCGCAACUAUGACUGAAGUCCAUAUAACCCCUUCAACUAUAAAAUCGUUUACAUAACCCCCUAGAUUUUCGAAACCAGCUCAUUUUUCACCUUUAGCACCAAUCAAAACUAGUUUUGGCCACAUGAACAGUGGAUUUGCUUGUGUUUGAUGACUGGAUGGCCACAACAUCAGUCAUUGUGCACAUCUGCUACUGGCUGGCCCUCUAUGCGCGGCCACACAUCCCUCCUAUUCUCUUCUUCAGCGAGUUAGCAGCACCUUCCUCCUCUGCUCCACUCUCCCAUCCGAGUAAACAAUCCAACCCAUGGAGGCCUAAAAUACCAGCACUCCUCUGCACCACAGCUCUUCUACAUCCAGAUCCAAAUUUGGCAGCUUUAGUACCACCUUACUCUCUUCCCCUCUCGCCUCUCCUAUUUUCCUCUCUACGUAAAGCAAUCCAGCAACGACUAACUUUAUCCAAGCCAAGCCACAGCACCUCCUCACGCAAGCAAGCAGCCAAGCCCCAAGGCCAGCUCACGGUCUCCUCUCCUAUGAGGCUGUAGACACUAGGACUACAGUGCCUUUGAGCCAACCCAUCGCUCCCUGGUGAGAGUGCUACGGGUUCAGAGCUGCGCCAAGCAGGCCGGAGCUCGACGCCUAGUGUAGUGUGCCCGUGCAGGAGCUCCUUCAACUUGAAGCCGUCAUCAUGUCUUUGCUCGAGCUGCAGCGUUGAACUGUGCAGACCAUUGCCACCUCUACGGCGACCAGGACGCGGCGCCCUCGAUGACUGUAGGCCACCCACUAGCCCUUCAUUGGGCCCUCACCCCUUGGCAGACUAGGAUGUGGUGCCCUCGAUGACUGUAGGCCACCCACUAGCCCUUCAUCGGGCCCUCACCCCUUGGCAGAAGCUCUCAUUUUUCGGCGUCAAGCCGCUGCCUCUAUUGUAGCAGCAAGAGAAAGACGUCAGCAUGACAUGCAAACAAUGAUUGAUGUUGUGGCUAUCCUAAUCAUCAAGAAGACAAGCAAAUUUAUUGUUUACGUGGCCAAAACCAGUUUGAAUUGGAUGCAGGGUUAAGUAGAUGUUUUGUAAUUUAGGGAUUACGUGGACUUCGACCAUAAUUGAAGGUAGUAAUUUGGACUUUUUUUCCUAUCUAGAAACUACAGAUUGUAUUCAAUCUACACUAGCUAAAUAUUUGCUGUGUGCUUGCAGUAAAGUUCUGGUAGCGAGCCUAAAUUUCAAGUGAUAUUACUUUCUCUAUUGUUUCUUUUUCUUGCAGCUCAUUGUGUGAAUGAGGGUCCAAUAAGCU
rnacentral:lncRNA from 1 species